rnacentral:rRNA from 1 species
UAGUCCACGCUGUAAACGAUGAGAACUAGCUGUUGGGUAUUAAUAUUUAGUGGCGCAGUUAACGCGAUAAGUUCUCCGCCUGGGGAGUACGGCCGCAAGGUUAAAACUCAAAUGAAUUGACGGGGGCCCGCACAAGCGGUGGAGCAUGUGGUUUAAUUCGAUGCAACGCGAAGAACCUUACCUACCCUUGACAUCCUGCGAAUCCUGUAGAGAUACGGGAGUGCCUUCGGGAAUGCAGAGACAGGUGCUGCUUGGCUGUCGUCAGCUCGUGUCGUGAGAUGUUGGGUUAAGUCCCGUAACGAGCGCAACCCUUGUCCUUAGUUGCCAGCACGUAAUGGUGGGGACUUUAAGGAGACUGCCGGUGACAAACCGGAGGAAGGUGGGGAUGACGUCAAGUCAUCAUGGCCCUUAUGGGUAGGGCUACACACGUGCUACAAUGGGAAGUACAGAGGGUUGCGAAGCCGCGAGGUGGAGCUAAUCUCAGAAAACUUUUCGUAGUCCGGAUUGCACU